rnacentral:ncRNA from 1 species
AGGUUAGUUUUACCCUACUGAUGACCUCGUCGCAAUGGUAAUUGAGCUUAGUACGAGAGGAACCGCUCAUUCAGAUAAUUGGUUUUUGCGGCUGUCCGACCGGGCAGUGCCGCGAAGCUACCAUCUGCUGGAUAAUGGCUGAACGCCUCUAAGUCAGAAUCCAUGCCAGAACGCGACGAUACCUCCCGCACGUACAGAUGGACACGAAUAGGCUUCGGCUUAGCGUCUUAGCAGGCGAUUCCUCCACUGCUCUCGAAGCGAGUAGUGGUAUUUCGCGAAUUGUAAUUUCAGCACGAGCGGGGUCAAAUCCUUUGCAGACGACUUAGAUGUGCGAAAGGGUCCUGUAAGCAGUAGAGUAGCCUUGUUGUUACGAUCUGCUGAGGGUAAGCCCUCCUUCGCCUCGAUUUCC